GGACACUUCAAGCACUGUAGUUACUAGAUCUAUUAGGUGGUCAAACUGGUUUUGAAUGGUUUGGCUUCUUACUGCCGGGUGCUGCUUUUUGUUUCUACAUUGAUCUUUACUUUUCCAGUUAUAAUGUUUUUGAGAUGGAAGUGGCAAGAUUUGGAGAUCGAUUCGACACGAGGGGUGGAGGAGAGGUUGGAGUCAAAGAGAACGCCUAGGCAGCAAGCCUGAGAGGUAGAGCGGAUGGUAGCGCCAUUGACUUGGAGGGAAACAGACAUGGGAGAAGCAACACUUGAGGGAGGGAAGACCAGAAGUUCUGUUUUGGACAGGUUCAGUUUAAGGCACAGACACGAGUCAAGAGGGGUGGUGAGAAAUUAGAGAAGGACAGAUAAAU